AGUGAACGCUGGCGGUAGGCCUAACACAUGCAAGUCGAACGGCAGCACAGAGGAGCUUGCUCCUUGGGUGGCGAGUGGCGGACGGGUGAGGAGUACAUCGGAAUCUACUCUGUCGUGGGGGAUAACGUAGGGGAACUUACGCUAAUACCGCAUACGACCUACGGGUGAAAGCAGGGGACCUUCGGGCCUUGCGCGAUUGAAUGAGCCGAUGUCGGAUUAGCUAGUUGGCGGGGUAAAGGCCCACCAAGGCGACGAUCCGUAGCUGGUCUGAGAGGAUGAUCAGCCACACUGGAACUGAGACACGGUCCAGACUCCUACGGGAGGCAGCAGUGGGGAAUAUUGGACAAUGGGCGCAAGCCUGAUCCAGCCAUACCGCGUGGGUGAAGAAGGCCUUCGGGUUGUAAAGCCCUUUUGUUGGGAAAGAAAUCCAGCUGGCUAAUACCCGGUUGGGAUGACGGUACCCAAAGAAUAAGCACCGGCUAACUUCGUGCCAGCCGCCGCGGUAA
rnacentral:rRNA from 1 species